rnacentral:rRNA from 1 species
AUACGGAGGGUCCAAGCGUUAUCCGGAAUCAUUGGGUUUAAAGGGUCCGCAGGCGGUCAAUUAAGUCAGAGGUGAAAGCCCAUCGCUCAACGAUGGAACUGCCUUUGAUACUGGUUGACUUGAGUUAUACGGAAGUAGAUAGAAUAAGUAGUGUAGCGGUGAAAUGCAUAGAUAUUACUUAGAAUACCGAUUGCGAAGGCAGUCUACUACGUAUAUACUGACGCUGAGGGACGAAAGCGUGGGGAGCGAACAGAAUUAGAAACCCCAGUAGUCC